ACUUGCUUUUCACAUUUUCUUCUUUCAUGUUCUGAAAUCUUCCAUUUUCUUACAUUUAACUCCGAACCAGAAUUUUUUCAUGACGGAACCACCGUGCCGGAACUCUUCUUCCGCCGUCAUCUUCUUCUCCUUCUGAUGUGUCAAUGUGCAGGUGUGCGCGUGUUCGACACACGUAAUCCAAGGAGUGUCCGUGUUUCAUGGUUUGAGAUUGUGAUGGCAUUAAACAAUAGCCCAACUAAGCUUCAAUUUCUAGCUUCUGUAUUUUCACGGUGGGAGUGCCUUGGAACACGAGAAAUAAUUGGUACAUGCUAAACCAAACAUACAUUAAGUAGUUAAGAACUUUUGUGUUAUAUGCAUCUGUUUUCGGACUUUGAUCCAAAAGUGUUGGAAUUAGAUUUCUAAAAUUGGUAUCAAUUAUAUUCUCAUGUUGGAUCCAAGAAAUUGUGAACUAAUGGUUAUUCCUUUAUAUAUUCUAAAUUUGUUUGUGAAUUGAGUGUUAGAUAAUACACAUUAGCAAGUCCUUUUGAUAGAAA